rnacentral:misc_RNA from 1 species
UCCUGGUUUCCCAGGCAGUCCCAUCAGAGUGCCCAUAAAAAUGGUAGCAACUGACGGCAAGAGUUGCGCUCGUUAGAGGACUUAACCAGACAUCUCACGACACGAGCUGACGACAGCCAUGCAGCACCUGUUCACUUGUCCAAGCAAAGCUUGGAAAAUUGUGUUUCCACAACGGUCAAGUGUAUGUCAAGCCUAGGUAAGGUUCCUCGCGUAGUGUCGAAUUAAACCACAUGUUCCACCGCUUGUGCGGACCCCCGUCAAUUCCUUUGAGUUUUAGUCUUGCGACCGUAGUUCCCAGGCGGAUCACUUAACGCGUUAGCUACGAUACUGACCUCGCAAAGCAAAGCCAACAUCAAGUGAUCAUCGUUUACGGCGUGGACUAC